rnacentral:rRNA from 1 species
CUACGGGAGGCAGCAGUGGGGAAUUUUGGACAAUGGGCGCAAGCCUGAUCCAGCCAUUCCGCGUGAGUGAAGAAGGCCUUCGGGUUGUAAAGCUCUUUCGCAAGGGAAGAAAACUUAUCCUCUAACAUAGGGUGAGGUUGACGGUACCUUGAUAAGAAGCACCGGCUAACUACGUGCCAGCAGCCGCGGUAAUACGUAGGGUGCGAGCGUUAAUCGGAAUUACUGGGCGUAAAGCGUGCGCAGGCUGUUUUGUAAGUCAGAUGUGAAAUCCCCGAGCUCAACUUGGGAACUGCGUUUGAAACUACAAGACUAGAAUAUGUCAGAGGGGGGUAGAAUUCCAGGUGUAGCAGUGAAAUGCGUAGAGAUGUGGAGGAAUACCAAUGGCGAAGGCAGCCCCCUGGGAUAAUAUUGACGCUCAUGCACGAAAGCGUGGGGAGCAAACAGGAUUAGAUACCCGCGUAGUC